rnacentral:rRNA from 1 species
UACAGAGGUCCCAAGCGUUGUUCGGAUUCACUGGGCGUAAAGGGUGCGUAGGUGGCGGGGUAAGUCUGAUGUGAAAUCUCCGAGCUUAACUCGGAAACUGCAUCGGAUACUGCCUUGCUCGAGGGUUGGAGGGGGACGUGGAAUACUUGGUGUAGCAGUGAAAUGCGUAGAUAUCAAGUGGAACACCAGUGGCGAAGGCGAGUCCCUGGACAACUCUGACACUGAGGCACGAAAGCUAGGGGAGCAAACAGG